rnacentral:rRNA from 1 species
UGUUGAAAUACCGGUUCCCGUACAAUCACCGAAGUUAAGCAACAUCAAGCCUGGUCAGAACUUAGAUGGGUGACCGCUUAGGAAUACCAGGUGCUGUA